UACGUAGGGGGCAAGCGUUAUCCGGAUUUACUGGGUGUAAAGCGAGCGCAGACGUCAAUGCAGGUCCGAUGUGAAAUUCCGCGGCUCAACUGCGGAACUGCAUUGGAAACUGUAUAGCUGGAGUGCCGGAGAGGUAAGUGGAAUUCCUAGUGUAGCGGUGAAAUGCGUAGAUAUUAGGAGGAACACCAGUGGCGAAGGCGGCUUACUGGACGGCAACUGACGUUGAGGCUCGAAAGCGUGGGGAGCAAAC
rnacentral:rRNA from 1 species